rnacentral:rRNA from 1 species
GAGGAAUAUUGGUCAAUGGACGGAAGUCUGAACCAGCCAAGUAGCGUGCAGGAUGACGGCCCUAUGGGUUGUAAACUGCUUUUGUAUGGGGAUAAAGUCAAUCACGUGUGAUUGUUUGCAGGUACCAUACGAAUAAGGACCGGCUAAUUCCGUGCCAGCAGCCGCGGUAAUACGGAAGGUUCGGGCGUUAUCCGGAUUUAUUGGGUUUAAAGGGAGCGUAGGCCGGAGAUUAAGUGUGUUGUGAAAUGUAGACGCUCAACGUCUGACUUGCAGCGCAUACUGGUUUCCUUGAGUACGCACAACGUUGGCGGAAUUCGUCGUGUAGCGGUGAAAUGCUUAGAUAUGACGAAGAACUCCGAUUGCGAAGGCAGCUGACGGGAGCGCAACUGACGCUGAAGCUCGAAGGUGCGGGUAUCGAACAGGAUUAGAUACCCUGGUAGUCCGCACAGUAAACGAUGGAUGCCCGCUGUUGGUACCUAGUAUCAGCGGCUAAGCGAAAGCAUUAAGCAUCCCACCUGGGGAGUACGCCGGCAACGGUG